rnacentral:rRNA from 1 species
CCUACGGGAGGCAGCAGUGAGGAAUAUUGGUCAAUGGGCGGAAGCCUGAAGCAGCCAAGCCGCGUGCAGGAUGACGGCUCUACGGGUUGUAAACUGUAUUUAUACGGGAAUAACGCGCCUUACGUGUAGGGCUUUGCAUGUACCGUAUGAAUAAGGACCGGCUAAUUCCGGGCCAGGAGCCGCGGUAAUACGGAAGGUACGGGCGUUAACCGGAUUUAUUGGGUUUAAAGGGGGCGUAGGCCGCAUGUCAAGCGUGCUGUGAAAUGUCCGGGCUCAACCCGGGCCUUGCAGCGCGAACUGGCGUGCUGGAGUCCGCGGAAAGCAGGCGGAAUUCGUCGUGUAGCGGUGAAAUGCUUAGAUAUGACGAAGAACCCCGAUUGCGAAGGCAGCUUGCUGCAGCGGAACUGACGCUGAUGCUCGAAAGCGCGGGUAUCGAACAGGAUUAGAUACCCCAGUAGUC